UUUCUUUUUGGAGAGUUUGAUCCUGGCUCAGGACGAACGCUGGCGGCGUGCCUAAUACAUGCAAGUCGAGC
rnacentral:rRNA from 1 species